GGCCGCCUGGCGAAAUGGCAUCGCGCCUGACUACGACAAGAUUGUACAGUUUAGCUAAUCAGGAGAUUGCAGGUUCGACCCCUGCGGUGGUCA